rnacentral:misc_RNA from 1 species
GGAUCUGCGAAGGACUCAAAAGCUCCAAGAGGUAAUGCCGGUUUCGCUAAGGCUUCCGGGAAGAAGGGAAGAAGGGGAAACAAGUGAUGGAGGAAGAUGUGUGGAAAUGGCCAAACUGGUGAUUCAGUGUAAAAUUUUGCAGUUCGAUUCAAUUUUGAUAUUUAUUCUUUGUCCAUCAAAAGCUAUUAUGUGGAAGCUCUGCC